UUCCGCAUCGGUGAAGUACUAACCCGGUAUUGCAAAACUAAAGCACACAGUAGCGUGCCUUGUGUCUGAAAUGAGCUUGCAUACUUGCCGGUUAACAAGCACAUAAGUCACAAAGAAGCCCAGAAUUCUGUGCCUCUGGACACCACAGCCUGAAUGAGGCUCCCACAGAAACAGCGACUCAAAGAACAAAGCUCCACCUGUGUUAAAGAGGCUGCAAGGCUGAUCGACUGACCAGAACCGUCGUGAUCGUGGAGAACUGGGAUGUUGUCCUCCGGAGCCACAUUAUCUUGGGCUAUCUUUAGUCCCCUUAAUAGUCAUUCAUUGCUCACUUCUGUGUUUGACCUAGCCUCUCUGUGGCAUUAUGUAAAUCUCUUGGAACAUCUAAACAGGCCCCUGGCCUCCACCAACACAGAGGCUGAGAACGACAUCAGAAGCACCUGAGACCUAGAGCAGACGUCCCCCAACUUGGCAGCAACACACCUGCCCGAUCUUUCCACUAAUAUAUUCUUAAACACCUUGAUUUAUGACUGUGUUCUGCUACUAUAAAAACUUCACGAAACUGUUA